rnacentral:rRNA from 1 species
UUACCAUGCAGUCGAACGGCAGCGCGGGGUAACCUGGCGGCGAGUGGCGAACGGGUGAGUAAUACAUCGGAACGUGCCCUGUGAUGGGGGAUAACUACGCGAAAGCGUAGCUAAUACCGCAUACGACCUACGGGUGAAAGUGGGGGAUCGCAAGACCUCACGUCAUAGGAGCGGCCGAUGGCGGAUUAGCUAGUUGGUGAGGUAAAGGCUUACCAAGGCAACGAUCCGUAGCUGGUCUGAGAGGACGACCAGCCACACUGGGACUGAGACACGGCCCAGACUCCUACGGGAGGCAGCAGUGGGGAAUCUUGGACAAUGGGGGCAACCCUGAUCCAGCAAUGCCGCGUGUGGGAUGAAGGCCUUCGGGUUGUAAACCACUUUUGGCGGGGGCGAAAUAUCGAGUGCUAAUACCAUUCGGUGAUGACGGUACCCGCAGAAUAAGCACCGGCUAACUACGUGCCAGCAGCCGGG